rnacentral:rRNA from 1 species
UACGUAGGGUGCAAGCGUUGUCCGGAAUUAUUGGGCGUAAAGAGCUCGUAGGCGGUCUGUCGCGUCUGCUGUGAAAACUCAGGGCUUAACCCUGAGCUUGCAGUGGGUACGGGCAGACUAGAGUGCGGUAGGGGAGACUGGAAUUCCUGGUGUAGCGGUGAAAUGCGCAGAUAUCAGGAGGAACACCAAUGGCGAAAGCAGCUCUCUGGGACGGUACUGACGCUGAGACGCGAAAGCGUGGGGAGCGAACAGG